GACGAACGCUGGCGGCGUGCUUAACACAUGCAAGUCGAACGAUGAACCAGGGCUUGCCCUGGGGAUUAGUGGCGAACGGGUGAGUAACACGUGGGCAACCUGCCCCAGACACCGGGAUAACCAUUCGAAAGAGUGGCUAAUACCGGAUACGACCACUUUGGGCAUCCAACGGUGGUGGAAAGGAUUCUGGUCUGGGAUGGGCCCGCGGCCUAUCAGCUUGUUGGUGGGGUAAUGGCCUACCAAGGCGACGACGGGUAGCCGGCCUGAGAGGACGACCAGCCACACUGGGACUGAGACACGGCCCAGACUCCUACGGGAGGCAGUAGUGGGGAAUUUUGGACAAUGGGCGCAAGCCUGAUCCAGCAAUGCCGCGUGCAGGAAGAAGGCCUUCGGGUUGUAAACUGCUUUUGUACGGAACGAAAAGGCUCUGGUUAAUACCUGGGGCUCAUGACGGUACCGUAAGAAUAAGCACCGGCUAACUACGUGCCAGCAGCCGCCGUAAAAC
rnacentral:rRNA from 1 species